UAGGGAAUCUUCGGCAAUGGGGGCAACCCUGACCGAGCAACGCCGCGUGAGUGAAGAAGGUUUUCGGAUCGUAAAGCUCUGUUGUAAGAGAAGAACGUGUGUGAGAGUGGAAAGUUCACACAGUGACGGUAACUUACCAGAAAGGGACGGCUAACUACGUGCCAGCAGCCGCGGUAAUACGUAGGUCCCGAGCGUUGUCUGGAUUUAUUGGGCGUAAAGCGAGCGCAGGCGGUUUAAUAAGUCUGAAGUUAAAGGCAGUGGCUUAACCAUUGUUCGCUUUGGAAACUGUUCAACUUGAGUGCAGAAGAGAAGAGUGGAAUUCCAUGUGUAGCGGUGAAAUGCAUAGAUAUAUGGAGGAACACAGGUGGCGAAAGCGGCUCUCUGGUCUGUAACUAAAGCUGAGGCUCGAAAGCGUGGGGAGCAAACAGG
rnacentral:rRNA from 1 species